rnacentral:lncRNA from 10 species
GGCCAUGAGUCCGUUGCAGGCCCGCCACAGCGCUGGCGCCAUGGCUCGGAGAACACGGCGCGGGGCGCACCUGACAUACCUGGAUAUAAACAAUAUCCAAGGCCCCUAAGGUAAAAGCCUUGCUCCAAGUCCCCUUCUGACUUCUAGUCACUUCCGUGCUGCCAGCAGAGGGCGUGGGAUUCUUCCUGAGGAGCCUGAGUCUCAGCUUUGCCAGGUCCUUGCUGUGUGACCUUGGGCACCUGUGCUCCCUUGACAAAGAGGAAUAAAACCUCUUCAGACUACUCUCCUAUCGAUUCUCUCCUGGAACAUAUGACCACCAUCAAUUAUAGGCAAGAACAUGAACACGGGAGUCCCAAAGACUUGGGUUCAAAUGUCAGCCCCUUCACUCGCUGGCUGUAGGUGUGAGGCCCUGGGUAAGGUCCUUACCUCCCCAAGUGUCUGAGCCUGUUCCCGUAUAAUGUUCACUUGCCUUGAAUAUCAUGAAAUGUACAUUAGACUUUGUAAGUAAACACCUAGCUGAGUAUCUGGAGCAUAGUAAGUGCUUAUCACACAUUCCAUGGAGUCCCAGACACGAGCAACUAAUGCUCCUGCCGUCCGCUCAGUUUGAGA